rnacentral:tRNA from 1 species
UUCCCCGGUAGCUCAGUGGUAGAGCAACCGGCUGUUAACCGGUUGGUCGCUGGUUCGAAUCCGGCCCGGGGAGCCAU